GUCCAGACUCCUACGGGAGGCAGCAGUGGGGGAUAUUGCACAAUGGGGGGAACCCUGAUGCAGCGACGCCGCGUGGGUGAAGGAGUAUUUCGGUAUGUAAAGCCCUCUCGGCAGGGAAGAAGCAAGACGGUACCUGACUAAGAAGCCCCGGCUAACUACGUGCCAGCAGCCGCGGUAAUACGUAGGGAGCGAGCGUUGUCCGGAUUUACUGGGUGUAAAGGGUGCGUAGGCGGCCCUGCAAGUCAGAAGUGAAAUCCAUGGGCUUAACCCGUGAACUGCUUUUGAAACUGCAGGACUUGAGUGGAGUAGAGGUAGGCGGAAUUCCCGGUGUAGCGGUGAAAUGCGUAGAGAUCGGGAGGAACACCAGUGGCGAAGGCGGCCUGCUGGACUGCAACUGACGUUGAGGCCCGAAAGCGUGGGGAGCAAACAGGAUUAGAUACCCGCGUA
rnacentral:rRNA from 1 species